CACCGCUCUCUGCAGCCCCCAGCCCACCGGGGAGGUUUCUCUGCACAGAUUAAAUAAAGUUUAACCUUUUACAUCCCUGUUUGCUGGCUGAGGGUGCCUGUCCCUGCACGGCUGUGCUGAAACGCGACACUGGACAGCCCCACCUCACUCAACCUGUUUGUCCUGUUGCAGGAACCAGCAGCUCCUUCUCUCCUCUGGCAUUUCUGAGCUCUGAGCAUGGGGGAUCCCUGGGGUACAAACCCUGAGGGGUGAAACAGAGAGGAGGAAAGUCAGAGCAUGGCACUGAGCAUCCCAGCAGAGCCACAGAAAAACUCCAAGGAUUUAAUCCCAGUUGCAGAAAGGAUGGAGGAGGAUCAAGGUGUGCAAGGGAACCCAAGGUCCAGAAGUCUUCCAGAAAAUUGUUUUAAAGUUGUUCAAAGGAAGGUGGAAAAGCUGAAAAGUCAAGCUCAGACAGCAAAGCUGUGCUCUGUAAGUGGAUGUUCCAGCUAAUGAGGUGUUAAGUGUAGAGAGAAUCACAAGUACUUGGGGGCAGGAUCCAGCUGGUAGUGAAACCAACAGCCAGCACCAAGAUUGUCCUCGACUUCUAGGAACAACUUCUGAGGGCAGGAGCAAGGGAAAACCUGGGAAAUGGGUUCAAAAAUACAAAAAUACAGCCACAGGUCAUGCUACAGCUGCAUCAUGUGGCUGCACAUGUUCCCUUUCCUUGGGCCAAUG